CAUGUAGGCGGAUUAAUAAGUUUGAAGUGAAAUCCUAUAGCUUAACUAUAGAACUGCUUUGAAAACUGUUAAUCUAGAAUGUGGGAGAGGUAGAUGGAAUUUCUGGUGUAGGGGUAAAAUCCGUAGAGAUCAGAAGGAAUACCGAUUGCGAAGGCGAUCUACUGGAACAUUAUUGACGCUGAGAUGCGAAAGUGUGGGUAGCAACA
rnacentral:rRNA from 1 species